AAAAUAAUAGUUUAUUUAAAAUUUUUAAUUUGCAAUUAAAAGAAUAUUUUUUAUUAUUUUA
rnacentral:tRNA from 1 species